rnacentral:rRNA from 1 species
UACGUAGGGACCGAGCGUUGUCCGGAAUCAUUGGGCGUAAAGAGCGUGUAGGCGGCUUGUUAAGUCUUGCGUGAAAUCUCGGGGCUCAACCCCGAGCGGUCGUGAGAAACUGGCAGGCUAGAGUGCGGGAGAGGAGAGUGGAAUUCCUGGUGUAGCGGUGAAAUGCGUAGAUAUCUGGAGGAACACCGGUGGCGAAGGCGGCAUUCUGGACUGUAACUGACACUGAGAGACGAAAGCCAGGGGAGCAAACGGG